rnacentral:rRNA from 1 species
ACGCUCGACACCUACGGGAGGCAGCAGUUGGGAAUAUUGGACAAUGGAGGAAACUCUGAUCCAGUGACGCCGCGUGAAGGAAGAAGGUCUUCGGAUUGUAAACUUAUUUUGUCAGGGAAGAAAAAAUGACUGUACCUGAAGAAAAAGACACCGGCUAACUACGUGCUAGCAGCCGCGGUAAUCUGAGCGGGCUGGCAAGGC